rnacentral:rRNA from 1 species
CCUACGGGAGGCAGCAGUGAGGAAUAUUGGUCAAUGGCCGGAAGGCUGAACCAGCCAUGCCGCGUGAAGGUCAGUGCCCUAUGGGCGUUAAACUUCUUUUGUGCGGGAGCAAUAAUGGUCACGUGUGGCCAGACGAGAGUACCGUACGAAUAAGCAUCGGCUAACUCCGUGCCAGCAGCCGCGGUAAUACGGGAGAUGCAAGCGUUAUCCGGAUUUAUUGGGUUUAAAGGGUGCGUAGGCUGUGAGGUAAGUCAGCGGGGAAAUGCCCCCGCUCAACGGGGUGAAGUGCAAUUGAUACUGCCUUGCUGGAAUGCGGAUGCCGUGGGAGGAAUGUGUGGUGUAGCGGUGAAAUGCAUAGAUAUCACACAGAACACCGAUUGCGAAGGCAUCUCACGAAUCCGCGAUUGACGCUGAUGCACGAAAGCGUGGGUAUCAAACAGGAUUAGAUACCCUGGUAGUC